GAUGAACGCUGGCGGCGUGCUUAAUACAUGCAAGUCGAACGGAAAGGCGCGGCGUUUGCGGCGUUGUCGUUAGCGGAAGGGGGGUGUAAAACGCGUGGAUCCUCCCCCUGUCAGUCUGGGAACACUUGGGGACUCGGGCGAUAAUCGCGGAUGAUCUCUUGCUCCAUGUGGUGGGAUGGAAAGUGACGGUGGUUGGGGAUGGACUCGCUGCUUAUGAGCUGGUUGGUCGGGUAGUUACUUUCAACGGCUUUGACGGGUAGCCGGCCUGGGAGGGUGACCGGCCACCUUGGGCCUGAGAUACGGCGCAGAAUCCUACGGGAGGCAGCAGUGGGGAAUAUUGCACAAUGGGCGGAAGCCUGAUGCAGCAACGCCGCGUGCGGGAUGCCGGCCUUCGGGUUGUAAACCGCUUUCGCAUGUGACGAAGCGUGCGUGACGGUACUGGGUAAAGAAGCACCGGCUAACUACGUG
rnacentral:rRNA from 1 species